UCGUGCCGUGAGGUGUUGGGUUAAGUCCCGCAACGAGCGCAACCCCUGCUUUCAGUUGCUACCGGGUCAUGCCGAGCACUCUGAAAGGACUGCCCAGGAUAACGGGGAGGAAGGUGGGGAUGACGUCAAGUCAGCAUGGCCUUUAUGCCUGGGGCCACACACGUGCUACAAUGGCCGGUACAAAGCGCUGCAAACCUGCAAAGGGGAGCCAAUCGCAAAAAACCGGCCUCAGUUCAGAUUGAGGUCUGCAACUCGACCUCAUGAAGGCGGAAUCGCUAGUAAUCGCGGAUCAGCACGCCGCGGUGAAUACGUUCCCGGGCCUUGUACACACCGCC
rnacentral:rRNA from 1 species